rnacentral:rRNA from 1 species
UACGUAGGGUGCAGGCGUUAAUCGGAAUUACUGGGCGUAAAGCGUGCGCAGGCGGUCUUUUAAGUCAGAUGUGAAAUCCCCGGGCUUAACCUGGGAACUGCGUUUGAAACUGGAAGGCUAGAGUGUGGCAGAGGGGGGUAGAAUUCCACGUGUAGCAGUGAAAUGCGUAGAGAUGUGGAGGAAUACCGAUGGCGAAGGCAGCCCCCUGGGCCAAUACUGACGCUCAUGCACGAAAGCGUGGGGAGCAAACAGG